CAGUCGCCGCGGGAAUACGUAGGUGGCAAGCGUUGUCCGGAAUUAUUGGGCGUAAAGGGCUCGCAGGCGGUUUCUUAAGUCUGAUGUGAAAGCCCCCGGCUCAACCGGGGAGGGUCAUUGGAAACUGGGAAACUUGAGUGCAGAAGAGGAGAGUGGAAUUCCACGUGUAGCGGUGAAAUGCGUAGAGAUGUGGAAGAACACCAGUGGCGAAGGCGACUCUCUGGUCUGUAACUGACGCUGAGGAGCGAAAGCGUGGGGAGCGAACAGGAUUAGAUACCCGUGUAGUCCCUGUCUCUUAUAC
rnacentral:rRNA from 1 species